ACCUAGAAAAAACCUCUAGUGUGUGUUUCUGUUCUGUCUUCUUCAGGCAUUAAAGGAUGUGUCUUUUUGGCUACUGCUCUGCUGGAGCUGAAACUUUCCCAAAACUCACAGCUAAGCAGUUCAGUGUGUGUUGCAUGGGACAGCUACAGAAUUCCAAUUACUGCAAUGGCAACAGCAGCCAAAAUCCCGAAUCCCAGGUUUGUGACCAGCCGCCAAGUCAGUGCCCAGGCAGCAAGAGCUGAGCCAAUAGCAGGAGAAAAAUGCCAUCUUCCAAUAGACCUGCCCAGAGGAAAAGAGGAAGAGUACUUGAAGACAGACAUGGUGUUUGCCUGACUCCAGUUCAAGGUGAAGCCUCAUUUAAUGGCACAGGUCUCUUUUUACUUUGUGACAGAGAUUGUCUGGAAUAUUUUCAAUCUGUGGGUAAAUGCUGACUUUUCUAACAUGUCAUUCUGAAGCCUCGUUUGAUCAUUAUGUUUACAAGGUAGUCUCAUAACUAAAGAUUCUUUUAAGUGCUUAUGGAGUGCCUGAGUUCCAAAGGAUCUCUCUUAGUUUCCUCUGCUUCAAAUGAAGGUCAAUACCCCUCAUAAAUAUCCUAAAGGCAGUUCCUAUCCAAGGAUAAAAACUUUUGUAGGUAAGAAUGUGUAUAUUUGUUAUUAUGGAAAUUAUAAUUUAAAACCGCACAAAUAACAGGGGUUUCAUUCUCUUCUUUAGAAGUUAUGGAAAAUUGCCUUUCUUAAUAAUUCAGUUUUAUACAAACUGAACAUAAACUCUUUCUGAGAACAUGAGAAAAAAGAAAGAACGUUUUCUCAGAGCUGCAAAUCAGUGGAGACUGCCUUUGAGGAGAAGAAACUUGAGUUUCCCACUGGAAGCUGAUCCCACAUAUGACUUUUAGGAAGACCAGCCAUGGCCACCAACAGACACACCGUCAGAGCCAAACAUAAGCCUUCGGGGGAACAUGAUCUGACAAGCAGCUGCCACUGCUGAAAACUUUCUCUGUAGACCCUGACAUCUGGCUUCUUCAGCUGCCAGGCUUGGCCUCCUCCAAGGUGCCACAGGAGACAGGUUGCUGCAGCAGGUAGGAAACUGGGAGGACAAAGAUCACAAUUUGAUGUGACUGGGAAGUAGGAGAUUAGCUUGGCUG
rnacentral:lncRNA from 13 species